rnacentral:rRNA from 1 species
GUAACAAGGUCUCCGUUGGUGAACCAGCGGAGGGAUCAUUACAGAGUUGCAAAACUCCCACAAACCAUCGCGAAUCUUACCCGUACGGUUGCCUCGGCGCUGGCGGUCCGGAAGGCCCUCGGGCCCCCCGGAUCCUCGGGUCUCCCGCUCGCGGGAGGCUGCCCGCCGGAGUGCCGAAACCAAACUCUUGAUAUUUUAUGUCUCUCUGAGUAAACUUUUAAAUAAGUCAAAACUUUCAACAACGGAUCUCUUGGUUCUGGCAUCGAUGAAGAACGCAGCGAAAUGCGAUAAGUAAUGUGAAUUGCAGAAUUCAGUGAAUCAUCGAAUCUUUGAACGCACAUUGCGCUCGCCAGUAUUCUGGCGAGCAUGCCUGUUCGAGCGUCAUUUCAACCAUCAAGCUCUGCUUGCGUUGGGGAUCCGCGGCUGCCCGCGGUCCCUCAAAAACAGUGGCGGGCUCGCUAGUCACACCGAGCGUAGUAACUCUACAUCGCUAUGGUCGUGCGGCGGGUUCUUGCCGUAAAACCCCCCAAUUUCUAAGGUUGACCUCGGAUCAGGUAGGAAUACCCGCUGAACUUAAGCAUAUCAAUAA